AACGAACGCUGGCGGCAUGCCUAGCACAUGCAAGUCGAACGAGACCUUCGGGUCUAGUGGCGCACGGGUGCGUAACGCGUGGGAACCUGCCCUUAGGUUCGGAAUAACUCCCCGAAAGGGGUGCUAAUACCGGAUAAUGUCCUCGGACCAAAGAUUUAUCGCCUUUGGAUGGGCCCGCGUUGGUUUAGCUAGUUGGUAGGGUAAAAGCCUACCAAGGCGACGAUCCAUAGCUGGUCUGAGAGGAUGAUCAGCCACACUGGGACUGAGACACGGCCCAGACUCCUACGGGAGGCAGCAGUGGGGAAUAUUGGACAAUGGGCGAAAGCCUGAUCCAGCAAGGCCGCGUGAGUGAUGAAGGCCUUAGGGUUGUAAAGCUCUUUUACCCGGGAUGAUAAUGACAGUACCGGGAGAAUAAGCACCGGCUAACUCCGUG
rnacentral:rRNA from 1 species